rnacentral:rRNA from 1 species
GACGAACGCUGGCGGCGUGCUUAACACAUGCAAGUCGAACGGAAAGGCCCUGCUUUUGUGGGGUGCUCGAGUGGCGAACGGGUGAGUAACACGUGAGUAACCUGCCCUUGACUUUGGGAUAACUUCAGGAAACUGGGGCUAAUACCGGAUAGGAGCUCCUGCUGCAUGGUGGGGGUUGGAAAGUUUCGGCGGUUGGGGAUGGACUCGCGGCUUAUCAGCUUGUUGGUGGGGUAGUGGCUUACCAAGGCUUUGACGGGUAGCCGGCCUGAGAGGGUGACCGGCCACAAUAGGACUGAGAUACGGCCCAGACUCCUACGGGAGGCAGCAGUGGGGAACAUUGCGCAAUGGGCGGAAGCCUGAUGCAGCAACGCCGCGUGCGGGAUGACGGCCUUCGGGUUGUAAACCGCUUUCGCCUGUGACGAAGCGUGAGUGACGGUAAUGGGUAAAGAAGCACCGGCUAACUACGUG